rnacentral:tRNA from 3 species
UUUAACUCAAUCGGUAGAGUAACCGGCUUUUAACCGGUAGGUUGUGGGUUCAAAUCCCAU